AUGGAUUCCAUCUUAGCUAAUGGUACCUGGGAGAUCACUGACCGUCCUUAUGGGUGCAAACCUGUAGGAUGUAAGUGGGUGUUUAAGAAGAAGCUUAGACCUGAUGGUACGAUUGAAAAGUACAAGGCACGGCUUGUGGCCAAGGGUUAUUCCCAGAAAGAAGGUGAAGACUUCUUUGAUACUUACUCACCCGUGGCUAGACUGACCACAAUUCGGGUGCUACUAUCACUGGCUGCCUCACAUGGUCUUCUCGUUCAUCAAAUGGACGUUAAGACGGCUUUCCUCAAUGAAGAGUUGAAGGAGGAAAUUUACAUGGAUCAGCCAGAUGGUUUUGUAGUACCUGGUCAGGAAGGAAAGGUGUGCAAGUUAUUAAAGUCUUUAUAUGGCCUUAAACAAGCUCCUAAGGAGUGGCAUGAGAAGUUCGAAAGAACAUUAACUGCUGCCGGCUUUGUAGUAAACGAUGGUGACAAGUGCGUGUACUAUCACUAUGGUGGGGCGAAGGAGUUAUUCUUUGUCUGUAUGUCGACGAUGUAUUGA
rnacentral:rRNA from 1 species